rnacentral:rRNA from 1 species
CAGCCUGCAACUCGGCUGCAUGAAGCUGGAAUCGCUAGUAAUCGCGGAUCAGAACGCCGCGGUGAAUGCGUUCCCGGGUCUUGUACACACCGCCCGUCACACCAUGGGAGCCGGAAACGCCCGAAGCCAGCGGCCUAACCGCAAGGAGGGAGCUGUCGAAGGCGGGGCCGGUGACCGGGGUGAAGUCGUAACAAGGUAGC